AAUACUUAUUAAUACUAGAUUUGUAUUAUUCUUUUUUAAAUUUACAAAACUAUGUCAUUGCUGCACCUGUCCACCAAAGUUCAAUGGAGCCUUAUCCAAAGAAAAGAGUGAAUAAAAAAUACUUACAAUCACCUUUCAAUCUACACCGUGUUUCCAAAAGAACAAGACAGCGAUGGAGCCUUUUAUGUCAGCAAGCUUCUGAAUGUUCCGUCACUGAAGAAGAAAGUCAAAAUCCGAAUGUGUAUGAAAAUAGAGUUGAUGACAAAGAUCAGCACCCUAUACCCACUGAAACCAACAACUCAGAAGACUCACUUAAUGAUGAUUCUGAUAGCUCUUCAGACACUUCUAGUUGUUUAUCUAACCGUAACUACAGAGAUUAUUCAGUUGACGAUUCUGAUCGCUCGUCAGCUGAUGAUUUUGACUGUUUAUUGAAUGAUAAUUUAAACAGCUUAUCCAAUGAUGAAUCAAAUUGUGCAUCUGAUAAUAAUAAUCAUACCAAAUUUAACACAGAACAUUUGCAAGGUGAUAUUGUGAUGUUUCCCCAAUCACAGCUUACUAUCUCUGAUGUUCUACUGAUGAUAACAGUAUAUUCUGUGAAGAAAAAUUUAACAAAACAAGACGAAGAUGAUCUAAUAGACCUGGUUAAAGUAUUCGCUGGCCCGGAGUUCACAUCAUGGAACGCUUCACAGCAUGCGAGGGCAAAAGCUUAUAACCCACCGAAAUCAAAAAUCAAUACUCAUUUUUUUUGUGAAGCAUGUAAUGUUGUGUUAAUCACGCAUAAUAACGGUAAAGUAAUGCAACCAAUAUCUACUAAAUGUCAAAGUUGUCAAGUUGAAUAUAAGCUGACAUCAGAAAGUUCAAAUCAAUUUAUGAUUGUUGAUUUGGAUUACCAAUUGGAACUUCUUUUGCAUGAAGAAAAAGUACAAAAAGACUUAUUAAACACAUUAAAUAAACUUAAUGAAAGUACAAACGACGGCGUUAUUCACAAUAUUUUUGAUUCACAGUUAUAUAAAAACUUACAACGUUUUUCACCACAAACAUUAACUUACAAUUUAAAUACUGACGGUGCACCUCCAUUUAAAAGUUCAAACCGUAGUUUUUGGCCAAUACAACUAUAUUUAAAUGAACUCUCAGCUCCAAUUCAAAAGCAAAAUGUAAUUCUUUGUGGAAUGUUUUUAACUUCGACGGAACCAAGUCCUGAGUUUAUGAAAAUUUACUUAUCUGCAUUUAUUGAUAACGCUACAAAACUGAUGACUGAAGGAAUGAAUGUUACUAUACGUGAUUCGAAUUUGCAAAGAAAUUUUAAAUUUCAUUGCCUUUUAAUAUGUGUAGACUCUGUCGCUAGACCAGUUCUACAAAACCGUUAUCAAUACAGUGGUUACUAUGGUUGUAGUUGGUGUUAUGCUUUUGGAGAUCAUUACAAUUUUGCAAUGCGAUAUCCUAUUACAGAGAACGAUCCAGCUUUAAGAACACAUAAAGACUAUAUCGCUAACGUAAAUGAAGUUGAACGACUUGGUAGACAUAUCAACGGAGUAAAAGGACGAUCAGAGUUAUUGCGUUUAAAACAUUUUGAUGUAGUGUGGGGUUUUCCGUUGGACUAUAUGCAUGGUGUUCUAUUAGGAGUCACAAGACAAUUAUGGACUAUAUGGACAACUGCAAAAACUUCAUAUUAUUUGACUCAAGCACACCGUGAAGAAAUUAAUAAACGGUUUCUUCAAAUAAAACGACCACAUGAAAUUCACAGAUUAGUUAGGCCUAUAAAAACUAUGGCUAAGUGGAAAGCAUCAGAGUGGGAAUCGUGGUUAUUAUUUGAUAGUUUGCCUUGUUUAGUUGGAAUUCUAAACAAGGAAUGCUUUGAUUCAUACUGUUUAUUUGUUUCAAGCAUAUUUAAACUAUCAUCUAACAAUAUAAGUGAAAGAGAUAUUAUACAAUGCGAACUAGAUUUGUUACAAUUCGUGGGCGAGUGCCAGCAGUUUUAUGGAAAAUCUGCAAUGACUUUCAAUUUGCAUUCUUUACUCCAUAUCGGACAUUCAGUGCGACAAAGCGGGCCACUUUUUUCAAGCAAUACAUUCAUAUUUGAGAGUCAAAUAUUCACUUUCAAGCAAGAAAUUAAUGCUGCUCAUGGUGUUUCUCAUGAAAUUGUUACUUCAACCUUAAAAAAAAAUUUUAUUAAAUGUAACAUCGAUAAUGCUACGGAGUCAAUCGUUUGCCGUGAUUACUGUAAAAACCUAUUUUAUCCCAAACGUUUACCAAAUAAUUUAUGUACGAUUAAUAAUGCAAUACUCGUAGGUAAAGCAAAUGGAUCAAAUGCAAGAAUUAACAGUCUUAUUCUUCAACACAACAUUGAAGAAAACCAAUCCAUAAAAACUUUUAACCGCUGUAUUUUUAAGAAAAUUAUUCUUCGUAGUAUAAAGUAUACUCGAUCAAAAAAAACUGAUGAUACUGUUGUUCAAUUAACGUCAAAAAAAAUAAUGCGAAUUCACGAUUUUGUUGUUAUUAAUAACAUUUGCUAUUUAUAUGGACGUGAACUUUUGACAGCUCCUGCAGAAUUUUGUACAUCAAGAUUGACCCACAUUUUCCAAGUACUUGAAGUGCAAGGUGGUGAGAUUUUCAUAAAUAUUGAAUGUUUAGAGGCAAAGUUGAUUUUUUUUACCAACGGACUCAAAAAUUAUAUUUCAAUACUACCGGAGCAUUUAGGAAUUUAAUAACUGUAUAAGAUAAUCAAAUCGAUUCUCUUCCUUCGAAAUAUGACGGAUUUAAAACAUCAAGAAAAUAAUUUGACUGAGGAAAAUAAUCCGUCUGCAAUUAAUGAACGAAAUACUAUCAACGAAAAAGAUAAUAAUGAAGAUAUAGCUAAAGAAAGUUUUAAAAACUUGGAAUUAUUGAACAACAAAAAAAUUAACAAAAAGGAAGCAAAGAUGAUGGAUUUAAAACAUCAAGAAAAUAAUUUGACUAAAGAGAAUAAUCCGAAUGCAAUUAAUGAACGAAGUACUAUCAAUGAAGAAAAUAAUAGUGUAGAAAUGGCUAAAGAAAGUAUUGAAAACUCGGAAUUAUUGAACAACAAUGAAAUUGCGAAUGUUUCAAUAACGCCUCCGCUUCAGGAAAUCUUAAA